ensembl:ncRNA asRNA:CR46470 antisense RNA:CR46470
GUUUGUGUGAGGAUGAAAUUCAAUCAGUUGGCCAUAAACAUAUCCGUUGCAGCAACUCCUAGUUGAGUUAAUGACCAGUCGAGAAAUCCCGACUUCCUCUACGUGUAUAAUUUGCAUGCAACCACCUCGCGGAGAGGGUGUAUCUCCAGCUCCAGCUCCAUCCGCAUCUGCAUCUGCAUCGGUGGUUGUAUCGCGAACGAGUUAUAUGCCAAAGUGGUGCAGCAACAACAAUAAAUAUAUAUCUCCAAAGGUGUGAUUUUAAUGUGACAACUUUGCAACUGGUUUGGGUUUUGGCUUUGGUUUUAGUUUGGGGUCGAGAGUUUUCCUCCCAUGCGAGGUGUCACAGGGAAUGGGCGUACGAAUAAUUUCAUUAAAGUUUUACGAUCGUGCAAUAUUAAUAAAGAAUACUAUGGAAUAUAUGCUUAACGAAGCCAUACAGGAACAAAGAGAGCGAGAGGGCGAGCGAAAGAGAGGGCCUGAAAACCUGAACCUCGAAUUGCAAUUUAAUAAGUUGUGAUCGCCCAUUCUACCUUGAUGAUUAUACAGGUAACUCCGUUUGGGUUCUCAUUUAUGCAUCGCAUAGCACUUUGUUUAUUUGGCAGUUUUUGCAGCUUCAUUUAAUUUCCAUUUAUUUUCUCUGUUAUUCCACUCGCACACACAUACACUAGCGCACUCUUUUCUCUACUUUAUUUUCAUUGCAGGUCGCGUGAGAGUGUGUGCGUUUCGAUCUUUCACUAUGGCUCUUUGUGUUAUCUUUUUUGCGCUCACUGACUCACGGCACCAACACCAGCGCAGACUCUCGCACACACA